AUUGAACGCUGGCGGCAUGCCUUACACAUGCAAGUCGAACGGUAACAGGCCGCAAGGUGCUGACGAGUGGCGAACGGGUGAGUAAUACAUCGGAACGUGCCCGAGAGUGGGGGAUAACGGAGCGAAAGCUUUGCUAAUACCGCAUACGAUCUACGGAUGAAAGCAGGGGACCGCAAGGCCUUGCGCUCAUGGAGCGGCCGAUGGCAGAUUAGGUAGUUGGUGGGAUAAAAGCUUACCAAGCCGACGAUCUGUAGCUGGUCUGAGAGGACGACCAGCCACACUGGGACUGAGACACGGCCCAGACUCCUACGGGAGGCAGCAGUGGGGAAUUUUGGACCAAUGGGCGAAAGCCUGAUCCAGCCAUGCCGCGUGCAGGAU
rnacentral:rRNA from 1 species